GACGAACGCUGGCGGCGUGCUUAACACAUGCAAGUCGAGCGGUAAGGCCCUUUCGGGGGUACGACGAGCGGCGAACGGGUGAGUAACACGUGGGUGACCUGCCCUCAGCUCUGGGAUAAGCCUGGGAAACUGGGUCUAAUACUGGAUAUGACUCCACGGUGCAUGUCGUGGGGUGGAAAGCCUUGUGCGGCUGAGGAUGGGCCCGCGGCCUAUCAGCUUGUUGGUGGGGUGAGGCCUACCAAGGCGACGACGGGUAGCCGGCCUGAGAGGGCGACCGGCCACACUGGGACUGAGACACGGCCCAGACUCCUACGGGAGGCAGCAGUGGGGAAUCUUGCGCAAUGGGCGAAAGCCUGACGCAGCGACGCCGCGUGAGGGAUGACGGCCUCGGUU
rnacentral:rRNA from 1 species